rnacentral:lncRNA from 1 species
CUGGGUCAAAGGGUGAAGUAGAAGGAAGCUGGAAACACAUAGUAUUUUAGAAGUUUUUCAGAGAAAUCACAAGGCAGGAACUUCUGCUCAGUUUGGAAGAAAGAGCAUUCCAUCAUGACCCUUGGACUGGGUGAGAGCAUCAUCCUUUAAUUAAUGUCUGCGCUGGGUCAGAUAACCAUCACUGUCUCCAGGUGCUGGAAUACAGAGAGGAACCAAACAGAUAAAAAUCCUUGCCUGCACGGAGCUUACCUUCAGCUAAGGGAGACAGUCAAAAACAAGGAUUUAGCCAAAUUUGGGUGCUAUUUCCCUUUUGUGGAGGGACUUUUCAUCACAAUGAGAAGGACGUCUUAGGACUCCAGGACUUUGAGAGGCAAAUUGACAAUCAUCGAUUUGUUGACUGAACACCUGUUAGGUGUAAGGCACGGUGUCAUAUGCUUUCCUUGGGGCUUGCCUUCAAGCAGCUAACAGAAAUAAGAAGAAAACAGGUGAAAAAGACAGUGUGAUAAGGCCAUGGUGGUGGAUUGUGGAUGCCCUGCCC